rnacentral:rRNA from 1 species
UCAAGCUAAAAAGAGCGCAAGGGGAAUGCCUUGGCAUCAGGAGCCGAUGAAGGACGUGAUAAGCUGCGAUAAGCUUCGGGUAGGCGCACAUAGCCAGUGAUCCGGAGAUUUCCGAAUGAGGGAACUCACAUGGGAAACCCCAUGUACCGUAUAGUGAAUACAUAGCUAUACGGAGGUAAACCUAGGGAACUGAAACAUCUAAGUACCUAGAGGAAGAGAAAGAAAAAUCGAUUUUCUGAGUAGCGGCGAGCGAAAGGGAAAGAGCCCAAACCAGUGACUUGUCACUGGGGUUGCGGACAGAGCAUUAACGAGAAGAUGUUAUUAACCGAACAUAACUGGAAAGUUAGACCGUAGGAGGUAAUAGUCCUGUAGGUGAAAGUAACAUUUAUCAAGCUUUGAUCCAGAGUACCACGAGACACGUGAAACCUUGUGGGAAGCAGGGAGGACCACCUCCCAAGGCUAAAUACUACCUGAUGACCGAUAGUGAAGCAGUACCGUGAGGGAAAGGUGAAAAGAACCCCGGGAGGGGAGUGAAAUAGAACCUGAAACCGUGUGCCUACAACCGGUCAAAGCCCCAUAUGAGGGUGAUGACGUGCUUUUUGUAGAACGAGCCAACGAGUUACGGUAUGUAGCAAGGUUAAGUACUUAAGGUACGGAGCCGAAGGGAAACCGAGUCUUAAUAGGGCGACUAGUUGCAUGCCGUAGACCCGAAACCGGGUGACCUAUCCAUGGCCAGGUUGAAGCGAGGGUAAAACCUCGUGGAGGACCGAACCACGUUGCUGUUGAAAAAGCAUGGGAUGAGCUGUGGAUAGCGGAGAAAUUCCAAUCGAACUCGGAGAUAGCUGGUUCUCCCCGAAAUAGCUUUAGGGCUAGCGUCGGAUAUGUGUAGUGGAGGUAGAGCACUGAAUGGGCUAGGGGGCAUAUCGCUUACCGAACCUUAUCAAACUCCGAAUGCCAUAUACAUUUAGUCCGGCAGUCAGACUACGAAUGAUAAGAUCCGUGGUCAAAAGGGAAACAGCCCAGAUCGUCAGCUAAGGUCCCAAAGUGUAAGUUAAGUGGAAAAGGAUGUGGGAUUUCUAAGACAACUAGGAUGUUGGCUUAGAAGCAGCCACUCAUUUAAAGAGUGCGUAAUAGCUCACUAGUCGAGAGAUCCUGCGCCGAAAAUGUCCGGGGCUAAAACUUACCACCGAAGCUACGGGCUUGCGUAAGCAAGCGGUAGGGGAGCGUCGUAAUCGGGCUGAAGUCGUACCGUAAGGAGCGGUGGACUGAUUACGAGUGAGAAUGUUGGCAUUAGUAGCGAGAUGUAGGUGAGAAUCCUACAGGCCGAAUAUCUAAGGUUUCCUCAGGAAGGCUCGUCCGCUGAGGGUUAGUCGGGACCUAAGCCGAGGCCGAAAGGCGUAGGCGAUGGACAACAGGUUGAUAUUCCUGUACCACUACCAUCGUUAUUAUCGAGGGUGUGACGGAGAAGGAUAGUGUGUGCUAGCGAUUGGAAAUGCUAGUCUAAGCGUUUAGGCAGUUACGGUAGGCAAAUCCGCUGUAAUGUUAAUGCUGAGGCGUGAUGGGGAAGGCCCUUGAGGCUGAAGUACAUGAUUCCAUGCUUCCAAGAAAAGCAUCUAGAGAGAGAAGUAGUGCCCGUACCGCAAACCGACACAGGUAGAUGAGGAGAGAAUCCUAAGGCCGGCGGAAGAAUUGCAGUUAAGGAACUAGGCAAAUUGACCCCGUAAGUUAGCGAGAAGGGGUGCCUACGAGAGUAGGCCGCAGAGAAUAGGCCCAAGCAACUGUUUAGCAAAAACACAGGUCUCUGCUAAAGCGCAAGCUGAUGUAUAGGGGCUGACGCCUGCCCGGUGCUGGAAGGUUAAGGGGAACACUUAGCGCAAGCGAAGGUGUGAACUUAAGCCCCAGUAAACGGCGGCCGUAACUAUAACGGUCCUAAGGUAGCGAAAUUCCUUGUCAGGUAAGUUCUGACCCGCACGAAAGGCGUAAUGAUCUGGGUACUGUCUCAACCAUAGACUCGGUGAAAUCUUAAUACCUGUGAAAAUGCAGGUUACCCGCGACAGGACGGAAAGACCCCAUGGAGCUUUACUGUAGCUUGAUAUUGAAGUUAGGUAAUUUAUGUAGAGGAUAGGUGGUAGACUGUGAUGUAUGGACGCCAGUUCAUACGGAGUCGCCCUUGGAAUACCACCCUUAAAUUAUUUGACCUCUAACUUACUCCCGUUAUCCGGGAGGAGGACAGUGUCUGGUGGGCAGUUUGACUGGGGCGGUCGCCUCCCAAAGAGUAACGGAGGCGCUCAAAGGUUCCCUCAGAUUGGUCGGAAAUCAAUCAAAGAGUGUAAUGGUAUAAGGGAGCUUGACUGCGAGACCUACAAGUCGAGCAGGUGCGAAAGCAGGACAUAGUGAUCUGGCGGUAGAAUAUGGAAUUGCCGUCGCUUAACGGAUAAAAGUUACCCUGGGGAUAACAGGCUGAUAGCGCCCAAUAGUUCACAUAGACGGCGCUGAUUGGCACCUCGAUGUCGGCUCGUCACAUCCUGGAGGUGGAUUCGCUUCCAAGGGUUGGGCUGUUCGCCCAUUAAAGUGGCACGCGAGCUGGGUUCAGAACGUCGUGAGACAGUUCGGUCCCUAUCCGUCGUGGGCGCAGGAAAAUUGAGGAGAGCUGUUCCUAGUACGAGAGGACCGGAAUGGACAUACCUCUGGUGUAUCUGUUGUAACGCCAGUUGCAGUGCAGAGUAGCUAUGUAUGGACGGGAUAACCGCUGAAAGCAUCUAAGCGGGAAGCCUCCUCCAAGAUGAAUUUUCCCAUUCUUCGUGAAGUAAGAUUCCUUGUAGACUACGAGGUUGAUAGGCUAGAGGUGGAAGCGUAGUGAUACGUUGAGCUGACUAGUACUAAUAGAUCGAGGAUUUAACUU